rnacentral:rRNA from 1 species
GACGAGCCACACAAACGUUAUUCGGAAUUACUGGGCUUAAAGGGUGCGUAGGCGGUGCGGAAAGUUGGGUGUGAAAUCCCUCGGCUCAACCGAGGAAUUGCGCUCAAAACUACCGUGCUCGAGGGAGAUAGAGGAGUGCGGAACUUAGGGUGGAGCGGUGAAAUGCGUCGAUAUCCUAGGGAACACCGGUGGCGAAAGCGGCACUCUGGAUCUCAUCUGACGCUGAUGCACGAAAGCUAGGGUAGCAAACGGG